rnacentral:rRNA from 1 species
AGUGAACGCUGGCGGUAGGCCUAACACAUGCAAGUCGAACGGCAGCACAGUAAGAGCUUGCUCUUACGGGUGGCGAGUGGCGGACGGGUGAGGAAUACAUCGGAAUCUACUUUUUCGUGGGGGAUAACGUAGGGAAACUUACGCUAAUACCGCAUACGACCUACGGGUGAAAGCAGGGGAUCUUCGGACCUUGCGCGAUUGAAUGAGCCGAUGUCGGAUUAGCUAGUUGGCGGGGUAAAGGCCCACCAAGGCGACGAUCCGUAGCUGGUCUGAGAGGAGAAUCAGCCACACUGAACCUUAACCACGGUCCUGUUGCCUACGGGAGGCAGCGGUGGGGAAUGUUGGACAAUGGGCGCAAGCCUGAUCCAGCCAUACCGCGUGGGUGAAGAAGGCCUUCGGGUUGUAAAGCCCUUUUGUUGGGAAAGAAAAGCAGCAGGUUAAGACCCCGCUGUUCCGACGGUACCCAAAGAAUAAGCACCGGCUAACUUCGU